UGGGGGAUAUUGCACAAUGGGGGAAACCCUGAUGCAGCGACGCCGCGUGUAGGAAGACGGUCCUCUGGAUUGUAAACUACUGUCUUCGGGGACGAUAAUGACGGUACCCGAGGAGGAAGCUCCGGCUAACUACGUGCCAGCAGCCGCGGUAAUACGUAGGGAGCGAGCGUUAUCCGGAAUUAUUGGGUGUAAAGGGUGCGUAGACGGGAAUGUAAGUUAGUUGUGAAAUCCCUCGGCUUAACUGAGGAACUGCAACUAAAACUACAUUUCUUGAGUGCAGGAGAGGAAAGUGGAAUUCCUAGUGUAGCGGUGAAAUGCAUAGAUAUUACACAGAACACCUAUUGCGAAGGCAGCUGACAAAACCAUUAUUGACGCUGAGGCACGAAAGUGUGGGGAUCAAACA
rnacentral:rRNA from 1 species